rnacentral:rRNA from 1 species
CUACCAUGCAGUCGAGCGGUAACAGAAAGAAAGCUUGCUUUCUUUGCUGACGAGCGGCGGACGGGUGAGUAAUGCCUGGGAAUAUGCCUUAGUGUGGGGGAUAACUAUUGGAAACGAUAGCUAAUACCGCAUAAUGUUUUUGUUCAUUACGAACAGGAACCAAAGAGGGGGACCUUCGGGCCUCUCGCGCUAAGAUUAGCCCAGGUGGGAUUAGCUAGUUGGUGAGGUAAAGGCUCACCAAGGCAACGAUCCCUAGCUGGUCUGAGAGGAUGAUCAGCCACACUGGAACUGAGACACGGUCCAGACUCCUACGGGAGGCAGCAGUGGGGAAUAUUGCACAAUGGGGGAAACCCUGAUGCAGCCAUGCCGCGUGUAUGAAGAAGGCCUUCGGGUUGUAAAGUACUUUCAGUCGUGAGGAAGGGUAUGUAGUUAAUAGCUGCAUGCCUUGACGUUAGCGACAGAAGAAGCACCGGCUAACUCCGUGCCAGCAGCCGCGGUAAUACGGAGGGUGCGAGCGUUAAUCGGAAUUACUGGGCGUAAAGCGCAUGCAGGCGGUCUGUUAAGCAAGAUGUGAAAGCCCGGGGCUCAACCUCGGAACCGCAUUUUGAACUGGCAGACUAGAGUCUUGUAGAGGGGGGUAGAAUUUCAUGUGUAGCGGUGAAAUGCGUAGAGAUCUGAAGGAAUACCGGUGGCGAAGGCGGCCCCCUGGACAAAGACUGACGCUCAGAUGCGAAAGCGUGGGGGAGCAAACAGGAUUAGAUACCCUGGUAGUCCACGCCGUAAACGAUGUCUACUUGAAGGUUGUGGCCUUGAGCCGGGGCUUUCGGAGCUAGCGCGUUACUACCAUGCACUACCAUGCACUACCAUGCA